CUCUGAGAGAAGGCAAAUCAUUUCCUGUCACAGUGAACAGAUGCACAGAUCCUGUCAGCCGUUAUAGACGCUAACCUUCAUUAGCUGUUUCCGUGUACGACAUCCUCCCUGACGACAGAGCGAUUGUGUUGGCUGAUGAAGAUAGAGAGGAAGACCGCCGCUGAAAACACUAAUUGCCUGUGACGUUUAACUACUCGUCAGGGAGGUCGACACACCCGGUUAGAGGACCUGAGGAGGAGGCCGACGGCGGGCGAGAAGUUGGGAGAGCGGCGCGCAGAGAGCAGCUGUCCUGAUUAGAUCCGACUCUUCCUCCUCUUCGUCCUCGCUGCAUUGUUUUGGCAUCUCUAAUUAAAGAAGUGACAUUUGUUCCAGAGCCCGGGGUCGCUGGAAAACUAAGACUCUCCUUCUCUAUCUCCACCUCCUCCAUCGAGCCCUCUUCCUCCACGAGGUCGCCGACACCGACACUCCAGUCAGCAGAACAGAACCUGGAGGGCAGCUCUGGGCCAACAGAACCUGAUGAGACUCCAGGUGUUUAUUCCUCCGGCGCUGGACGGCUCUCUCAGUAAACAUCAGAUGCCGUCUAAUAUUUCUGUGACGCUGAUUCACUUCAGGAUCUCUUUAACGUUCCCGGGUCCCAUGAAUUGAUUCAUCCCACACGGAUCCAUCCGGUCCAGACGGGAAAGAAAAAAAAUAAUAUUCUGUUGACAUAAAUCUGAAUCUUGUGAGAAGAAAAAUAUAAUUGGACACAUUCAGCUUCAGUUUGACAGAAAUCCCUGGUAAAAAAAGAAAGACAGGAAAAAAGAAAAAUGUAAAUAUUAAAAUUAGAUUUAAAAUCA